rnacentral:rRNA from 1 species
AGCGAACGUUAGCGGCGGGCCUAACACAUGCAAGUCGAACGAGAAUGAGGGGGCAACUCCUCUAGUAAAGUGGCGGACGGGUGCGUAACACGUGGGUAAUCUACCUUCCGGCGGGGGACAACAGUCCGAAAGGAUUGCUAAUACCGCAUACGUCAGCGAGAUCUACGGAUCUUGUUGGGAAAGAUGGCCUCUCCUUGGAAGCUGUCACCGGAAGAUGAGCCCGCGGCCCAUCAGCUAGUUGGUGAGGUAACGGCUCACCAAGGCGAAGAC